AGAGUUUGAUCAUGGCUCAGAACGAACGCUGGCGGCGCGCCUAAUACAUGCAAGUCGAGCGAGAAGGUGUAGCAAUACACUUGUAAAGCGGCGCACGGGUGAGGAAUGCAUGGGUAACCUACCCUCGAGUGGGGAAUAACUAGCCGAAAGGUUAGCUAAUACCGCAUACGUUUCCUGGACUUCGGUUCGGGAAAGAAAGCAAUACCGUGGGUAUUGCGCUCAUGGAUGGGCUCAUGUCCUAUCAGCUUGUUGGUGAGGUAAUGGCUCACCAAGGCUUCGACGGGUAGCUGGUCUGAGAGGACGAUCAGCCACACUGGCGCUGCGACACGGGCCAGACUCCUACGGGAGGCAGCAGUAAGGAAUAUUGCGCAAUGGACGAAAGUCUGACGCAGCGACGCCGCGUGGGGGAUGAAGGUCUUCGGAUUGUAAACCCCUUUCGGGAGGGAAGAUGGAGUGGGUAACCACUUGGACGGUACCUCCAGAAGCAGCCACGGCUAACUCGUGCCAGCAGCGCGGUAAUACGAAG
rnacentral:rRNA from 1 species